UACGGGGGGAGCAAGCGUUGUUCGGAUUUACUGGGCGUAAAGGGCGCGUAGGCGGCGCAACAAGUCACUUGUGAAAUCUCCGGGCUUAACCCGGAGCGGUCAAGUGAUACUGUCGUGCUAGAGUGCAGAAGGGGCAACUGGAAUUCUCGGUGUAGCGGUGAAAUGCGUAGAUAUCGAGAGGAACACCUGCGGCGAAGGCGGGUUGCUGGGCUGACACUGACGCUGAGGCGCGAAAGCUAGGGGAGCGAACGGG
rnacentral:rRNA from 1 species